GUCAUUUUGUUUGAAACUACCCUAGGUCAUUCUUCAUUCUUCCCUCCUCAGUGGUUUUUCUUUCUUCUUUCUAGAACACCCUCACCGUUUGUUCUGCCAUUGGUGCCACCACUUUGUGUUUGUGAAGGCAGAUUACGCAAGGGUUUGAUUAACGUUGCCUUUCUCCGUUGUCGUUGAAAACGCGAACACUUACGAAUUGGGGAAAAACCUGAGGUUUGGCACCGUGGCAAAAGGUGGAAUUGGUUGUUGUGCCCAGGUCAUCGUUCCAGCGUUGAAGAAGUUGUGAGUUUUUAUCGCAUUUUCGAACAACCACUUCGGUAAGAAAAAACUACACAUUAUUUGCGAAUGUCAUCACGAAACUUGACCGCACCUCUGCACGUUGUGUAUCCCACAUUGGCAUCUUUAUUAUUUAUUUGAUUGUUGGUGCAUUUGUUAUUUUUGAGUUUUUUGUUUGGGGUUUAAGGUUUUGUGCUAACCCCUAUUUUGGUGUGUAAGAGUGUGGUGGAUGUAUGUCAUUGUUUGGUGGUUCUUAUGACAACCCUAGUUGAUGACAUGUACUAUUGAAAUUCAUAAUUUUAGAAAAUGAACCACUUAACUUCACAUUGAUUAAUCAUCCACAUUUUGAUCAUGGUCUGGGCUAUAACAUUCCUGGUUGUUUUUCAGCCCGAACUUGUAAGAACCCUUUUUCUUUUUCCAGCCCUAAAGGUUAGUGGGCUGCCUCUUAAUGGGCCCAAGGGUUGGCCCAGUGCAUAUAAGUUCUAGGUCUGCCCUAAACCUAGGGUACCCUACAUUUUCAGGACCUUUGCCCUUACCUUGAGCCGCAGCCGCCACACCUUCUGCUAGGGUUCGUUCUUCGUCUCGAACCAGUCCAUCCCGAGAGCUCGACUAGUGAUUCCCGCUCCACUUCUUAGGUCCAUCGCUCGAGCUACUGUGCUCCAAGGUUCCGCGUCGAAGUUUCGUUAGCUCUUUUCCAGGUAACACCUGGAGCGACCAGAGCGAUGAGGUGUGACAGUGGAGUUGUAUCGUGGAAGUUUCUGAAGCAUUAUGUUGACUCAGGGAUGCUUGUUGAUGAAUUAUUAUUUUUUCGUAUUUACUUAAUUGAUGCUUAAUUUUUAAUUGUAUAUUAUUAGUGUAUUUCCUUUUAUUUGGCUUUAUUGGAACAGUAACUCGAAUUUUAAUUAAUUUGAAUUUACUUGAUCUAAUUAUCGUUUCUUAAUUAUUUCAGGUUUUGUUGUGAAUUAUUUUUGGACUUGGACACUUAUUUUGUAAAGAGAAGAGUGUCACGUUAGUGCCACACUAACCCUAUUUUCAUGUAUUGAUGAAAAUGAAGAUAAGACACAAAGAAGCAUAUGGUAUUGGUUCAACACGCGACCUACAGAAAUGAAAAAAAAAUGUCACACUAAAUAUAAGGCGUUGAGCUAAAAGAAGUUAGACAAGCGCUUGCUGGGAGGCAACCCAAUAUUUUUAAUUUGUCUUAACAUGCUUAAUUAUGAAAUUCUCUCUGAACUUGUUCUAAUCAUGUCCUCAAAAUAUAUGAAUUGAAUGUUUGGAUGGUCAACUAAGUUAGAAUAUGUUUGAGUAAUGAUUUUCUUGUCUCAUAAUUGUGCAUACAAUUGAGAUAACUUGUGGCAUACAUUGAUUGUGAGAUGGUUUGAUAUGUUUAUAUUUAGUCAGUCCUUGUUUAGUGUGAAA